AACGCAAAUUGCGCUCUUGGGUAGCCCUAGGAGCACGCCUCUCUCAGUAUCGGUUCAACAAUCUCUCAGCAGCGUGUUUGGAUAGUUGGAAUAGUUUACUAUUCUUUGAUCUUUCGAACGCGUGUUGGCUGGAUAAUGAGAGUCUGUAUGCUUUGUCGUACAGUCUCUUUAAAUACAUGGAGUAAGCAUAACUAAACGAUUAAAUUCCUUUCACAGUUUAUCAGUUUGGAGGACUCGCAAGAGAAUCUUCGAAUAGAAGAAUAGUGAGGGGAAUAGUAGAGUCUCUGACUUUCUGCUUUAUUCGAUAGUGACGUGAAUAUUGGCCUUUAUUGGUCUAACUUUUAUGUUUAUCUAUUUUGAGCUAAGCAAUUAUAAGGUCUAAGAUUUAACGAAACAAUUGUUAUUUAUUAGUUGAUGUUUAUGUAAAGAUAACCAUAUGGCUUUUGUGUUUACACAGAAUCCUGAAUUUUGAUCUGAGAUGAAGCGAGACAACCCCCUGAAUUUAA
rnacentral:misc_RNA from 1 species